AGAGUUUGAUCCUGGCUCAGAUUGAACGCUGGCGGCAGGCCUAACACAUGCAAGUCGAGCGGUAGAGAGAAGCUUGCUUCUCUUGAGAGCGGCGGACGGGUGAGUAAUGCCUAGGAAUCUGCCUGGUAGUGGGGGAUAACGUUCGGAAACGGACGCUAAUACCGCAUACGUCCUACGGGAGAAAGCAGGGGACCUUCGGGCCUUGCGCUAUCAGAUGAGCCUAGGUCGGAUUAGCUAGUUGGUGAGGUAAUGGCUCACCAAGGCUACGAUCCGUAACUGGUCUGAGAGGAUGAUCAGUCACACUGGAACUGAGACACGGUCCAGACUCCUACGGGAGGCAGCAGUGGGGAAUAUUGGACAAUGGGCGAAAGCCUGAUCCAGCCAUGCCGCGUGUGUGAAGAAGGUCUUCGGAUUGUAAAGCACUUUAAGUUGGGAGGAAGGGCAGUUACCUAAUACGUGAUUGUCUUGACGUUACCGACAGAAUAAGCACCGGCUAACUCUGUGCCAGCAGCCGCGGUAAUACCGAGGGUGCAAGCGUUAAUCGGAAUUACUGGGCGUAAAGCGCGCGUAGGUGGUUUGUUAAGUUGAAUGUGAAAUCCCCGGGCUCAACCUGGGAACUGCAUCCAAAACUGGCAAGCUAGAGUAUGGUAGAGGGUAGUGGAAUUUCCUGUGUAGCGGUGAAAUGCGUAGAUAUAGGAAGGAACACCAGUGGCGAAGGCGACUACCUGGACUGAUACUGACACUGAGGUGCGAAAGCGUGGGGAGCAAAC
rnacentral:rRNA from 1 species